UACGAAGGGGGCUAGCGUUGCUCGGAAUCACUGGGCGUAAAGCGCACGUAGGCGGCUUUUUAAGUCAGGGGUGAAAUCCUGGAGCUCAACUCCAGAACUGCCUUUGAUACUGAGAAGCUUGAGUCCGGGAGAGGUGAGUGGAACUGCGAGUGUAGAGGUGAAAUUCGUAGAUAUUCGGAAGAACACCAGUGGCGAAGGCGGCUCACUGGACCGGUAUUGACGCUGAGGUGCGAAAGCGUGGGGAGCAAACAGG
rnacentral:rRNA from 1 species